rnacentral:rRNA from 1 species
GACGAACGCUGGCGGCGUGCCUAAUACAUGCAAGUCGAACGAGAGCGACCGGUGCUUUCACUGGCCAAUCCAUUACCGAACGGGUGAGUCCCUUGUGGGUAACCUGACUCCCAGAGGGGGAUAACAUUCGGAAACGGAUGCUAAAACCGCAUAGGUUUUCGAACCGCAUUGUUUGAAGAGGAAAAGAGGCGCAUGGUUCUGCUAAUGCAUGGCCCCGCGGUGCAUCAGCUCGUUGGUGAGGUGACGGCCCACCACGGCCGGGAUGCAUAGCCGACCUGAAAGGGUGAUCCGACACAUUGGCACUGAGACACGUCCCACACUCCGGCGGGGGGCAGCAGUCGGGAAUCUUCCGCGAUGGACGCAAGGCGGACGGAGCAACGCCGCGGAAGUGAAGAAGGUUUUAGGAUCGGAGAACGAUGAUGUUAGUGGAGUACAAGUGCUCGAGUAACUGUGAGCAUAAUGACAGUAUCUAACCAAAAAGCCACGGCUAACUACGUG